CUUUGCAGAAAUCGUUUAAGCUCAAUAUUGUUGCUAGUGAUUGUUUUGGUCAUUCUAAACACAAAAAGCUGGAGACCAUUUGAUAAACUCUACCUAUUGUCUGGGGCAGCAGGCAGCACUACUACUACUCUCACUCACAGACAGACAAGAAUGAAAGAAUCACAAGUCCACUUCACUGCUCUUUCAGGAGUCGAGUCUGAAAUGCCCAAAAAUAAAAAUAAAUACAAAAUCAUAUAAAAAUCACUGAAUAUAAGAACAAAAAACAAAAAAAAACACCAAUAUCAAAAGCCUAAACACGAGAGCGCCUGGGAUGUGUUGGCCAGAGUCUUUAGUCAAAUAAGAGCCAAGGCAACCAAGUCAACAAACCAACCCACAAACCAACCACUAGCCAGCGCUAAUACCCAAAUAUCGAAUCGAAUCGAAUUGCAAAUAUGUGUGGAGACAUUUCGCCGAGGUCUACUUAUCUGUGUGUGUUAAUCUGCCUACCUAUCAGUAUAUCAG
rnacentral:sRNA from 1 species